rnacentral:lncRNA from 1 species
CCUUAUGUCUUUCUGCAUAAUUAUAGAGUAGCCAAAACCUGUUUUAGGUUAAUCACCUCUGGCAAAAUAAAUGAUAAAAGCAUAGCUUUUGUAAGCAGAAUGAUAUUACAGAAGUUAACUUAUAAAUCUAAGUGUAUUAAAGACACUUAGGAAAUUUAUGAUAAUGCUGGGUCAGCAUUACAGUUUUAACUUUUUACAGUUUUUCAUAUGCUUUUUUUGUGAUUUUGCUGUAGAAAAUUAACAGUUGGCAUUUGGCUUAGUUCAAGUAUAAUGCUGUUGACAAGUAUAUCUGACACGUCAUUGAACUAAUAAUAUUUUUGAAAGCUGAUAGGUACUUAUUUUUAAAGCUAUAGAGGUAAUAUUUCAUCAGGUGCAGAUUUGUUGCCAAAUGAACGAGUUUGUAGUAUUGCUAACAAGGAGAAGAAUUACUAGCAAGUCUUGAUGUUACUUUUGAAGAGUGUGAUGAUUGCAUUUAGGAAGAUAUCUAAACUUCUGUUUC